GGAUGAUAAAACCAACAUGUUCCUCCAAAUGAGCUUCAAAAUCAUUCCGAAGACCGAGCCUACAUUUCUGAUUUUGGUCUGCUGUAGUUCUCAAAAGCGCUGGUUGUCGACCUCUUCCACUGAAGCCCGUCAAUCCUAACCAUCCAAGGCGCGGCUUCCGUAAAUCGACGGCCCUGAUCCAUUGUCGAACAGUGGCACCACCAUUGGUUCCUCCGCUGCACGGGGGAACGCGUGCUAUCUCGCGGUCUCUGCGUGUCGUCGAGAGUUUCCGAUUCCUAAAUUCGAGGGCGAUCGAAAGGAGAAAAAAAAAAAGGAAAAAGAAUCCCCAAAUUUGAUCGAAUAAUUCCGACGAUAAUAUAAGUGUGGCAAUUCGUUCUUUCCCGUAAUUUGUUUCCGUAUUUUUCGAUCCCAUUGGGUGAGAAGCUUUUCAUGGACAACAUCACGGCCCUAGCUCCGAGCAUGGGCUUCGACGCCGGCGAGGUGGAAGCCCCAAUCCCGAUCCAGUCCCAGGAACCCCACCUCGACCACCAACCCAUCGCCGCCGCCGCCGCCGCCGCCGCCGCAGAUCACGGGCUCCUAGCCGUCCGAUCGGACGUCCGGGACGGAGUCGACGGUGGAGAUCCUCCGCCUCCUCCGCCGGCCCCGGAUCCGCGGGAGCCGGCGAUCGGCAUGGAGUUCGAGUCGCCGGAAGCGGCGCGCGCGUUCUACGCGGGGUACGCCGAGCGCGCGGGGUUCCGCGUCCGCAACAGCAAGUCGUUCACCUCCCGCGUGGACGACUCGGUGAUCAUGCGCCGCUUCGUGUGCUCCAAGCAGGGCCGCCCGACGAAAAAGGACCCGUUCGACCUCACCAAGAAGCGCCGCAACCGCGCCUCCUCCCGCGAGGGCUGCAAGGCCAUGCUCCAGGUCAACCGCCGCGACACCGGCCGCUGGGCCGUCUCCCGCUGCCUGCUCGACCACUGCCACCCACUCGGCGCCUCCUUCACCGACAAGCCCCCGCCCGCCGCCGCCGCCGCCGCCGCUGCUGCCGCUUCGCAGAAGAAGCUCUCCAAGAAGCCGUGGGAGCUCCUCGCCUGCACCCCCGCCGAAUCUCACUCCCACCAGAACGGCCUCGGGCCCGGCGGUGGCGUCGCGCAGAGCUUGCUAGAAUACUUCAAGAAAAUGCAGGCCGAAAACCCCGCCUUCUUCUACUCGAUUCAGCUCGACCGGAAUAACUGCGUUCAGAACGUCUUUUGGGCGGAUGGGCGGGCCAGAAUGUCGUACAGCUAUUUCGGCGAUUCGGUUGUUUUUGACACGACCUGCAGGAAGAACAAGCGGUUGGUGCCGUUCGCGGCGUUUACCGGUAUGAACCAUCAUAGGCAGAUGAUAGUCUUCGGCUGCGCAUUUAUGACCGACGAGAGCGAGGAUUCGUUCGCUUGGCUUUUCGACACCUGGCUCAUGCUGAUGAGCCGGCAGAAGCCGGCGUCGUUCACCACCGGUUACAGUGAGGCUGUGGAAGCGGCGGCUCGGAAAGUCCUUCCUGAUGUUAGGCAUCGGUUCUGCAAGAGGGACGUCUUCAGUAAGAGCAAGGAGAAGCUGGCCGAUGUAUAUUCGGCGCAUCCUUCUUUCAAGGCCGAGUUGAAGAAAUGCGUGGGCGAGUCAGAGAGCGUCGAGGAGUUUGAAUCAAGUUGGAAUUCGCUGAUUGAGAGAUAUGAUUUGGUUGAGAAUAUAUGGCUGCUAAAGUUAUAUAGUAUUCGCCACAAAUGGGUCCCCGUGUUUUUCAAAGACAAGUUCUUCGGUGAAUUUUCCGGCGGUACAAAAUUAGAGACCAUGCAAAAAUUCUUUCAGAGGCACUCUAUUACGACGACAACGCUGCGUGAUUUGGUCACUCAGUUCGAUAAGGCCAUGGCGGGGCAAUACGAGAAGGAGAUUCAGGCGGAUUUUGCUACUAUUCAUACUAGACCCGUUAUGAAGACUCCGUCGCCGUUGGAGAAGCAGGCAUCUGAUAUUUAUACAAAAACGAUAUUUGAGUUGUUUCAGGAUGAAUUGGUUGAGACUUCAGGUUUUCUUACCGAGAAAGUUGACGAUGGCGUGACUAGCAUCUUUCGGGUGAUUAAAGUUGAGGAUUCCAGUAAAACACAUGUAGUUAAAUACAAUGAUUCGGAAAAGAGCAUUAUCUGUAGCUGCUGCAAGUUUGAAUUUUCGGGCAUUUUAUGCAGGCAUGUUUUCAGAGUGAUGAUGGUACUGAGUAUUCUUUCGCUGCCUGAUAGUUAUAUAUUAAAAAGGUGGACAAGGAAUGCCAAGAGCGAUGCCGUCUCCCUAAUACCGAGUAAUUGUAAAAAGCCCUUGAAUUGGCGGUCCAAUGAUCUUUUUCGCGAUGCCAUUAAGUUUGCAGAAGAGGGUGCCACAUCGGCAGCUAUUUAUAAAGUCGCAAAGGGAGCGUUGCAGAAGGCUUUUGCGGAAGUCUUAGCUUCCAAGAAAGGUUGUUCAUUUAAUGGGAGUAGCUAUUUUUGACUUCUUAAAAGGCGUAUUCUGGUAGUGGUAUCCAGUGGGUUUUCCUCAACAUGUAUGCAAUCCUCCCUUUCACUUGACCUUGGCAUCAUCCUCGAUUGAGGUUACAGAUGAAGCAUCAGGUUGUGAAUAUCAGAAGUCUCAGCUAUCAUUACUUCAAAAUUUUUCAGCUUCCGCGACAAAGGCCUAACAUUCCAAAGUGAGCCCUCAUAGGGCAUAUGCAAGUGAAAGAUAGCGACACCAGUUCACCGUCGCAGCAGGUGUCGUUGUGCUACCCAUGUAGUUCAUUACAAGAUCAAGAAUCCUAAAGAAUGUACUGAUCAAAUUACUUUUGCGAAUUACAGAUGCUCUCGGUUUAUUGUGAUAACAAAUUAGUUAAGAACGUCGGAGGAGAAGAUCGCGCUUUUUGUGUGCAUUUCCUGGUUUUCGGCGUUUGUGUGCCGAACAGAACUGUAUGUGUGGGUGAUUUGUAUGUAAUGAAACUGUGCUGCUGCAAUUGUCUAAAGACACAUUUCAGGGAGCUUUCUGAGUGCACGGUCUCGAGGAUGACAAGCUAAGAUUUGAGGGAUGAACUACAGAAUCAUUGGUUGAAGGAGGCCCCACACGAGGUCGCAUUUGAAUCCGCGAUUCUCAUGGAUCUGGUGGUCCUAGGUUUGUAGGGCCCACACCUGGCCUGACCCAUUAUUAUUUCUCUUUAUUUCUCUUGUGAAACGGUGGUGAAUUAUUUACCUAUCAGUUUAUUCUCUUUUAAGCCCUAUGUAUAAAGAUCACCGUUCUCCUCUUAAAAUAAUAAUAAUAAUAGUAAUUGAAAAUAAAAA